GAAUGUGUGAUGGCCCCAUCCCGGGGUACUGAAUACAAUCAAACUGCGAAUGUCAUUAAGGAUGUCCGGCAGUCAGACUGUGAGUGAUAAGGUCCAUGGUCAAGAGGGAAACAGCCCAGACCGCCAGUUAAGGUCCCAAAAUACAGGCUAAGUGGAAAAGGAUGUGGGGAUGCACAGACAACUAGGAGGUUGGCUCAGAAGCAGCCACCCUUCAAAGAGUGCGUAACAGCUCACUAGUCGAGUGACCCUGCGCCGAAAAUGUACCGGGGCUAAGCCUGAUACCGAAACUGCGGAUUGUAGGAAACUAUAGUGGUAGGGGAGCGUUGUAUACGAGUAGAAGCCGUACCGUGAGGAGCGGUGGAUUGUAUAGAAGUGAGAAUGCCGGUGUGAGUAGCGAGAUGUAGGUGAGAAUCCUACACACCGAUAGCCCAAGGGUUCCAGGGGAAGGUUCGUCCGCCCUGGGUAAGUCGGGACCUAACGCGAGGCCGAAAGGCGUAGUGGAUGGAAAGCAGGCGAAAGAUUCCUGCACCCGUAUAUGGAGCGAAGGAGUGACGGAGACGGAUAGUGUGACCCUCUUAAUGGAUUGAGGGCGAAGCGAAGCGGCUGGUUACCAGGCAAAUCCGGUAACUGAAAGGCUAGAGCGUGACAGGUAAGCGAAAUCUUAGGAAAGUAGCGAAGCACAUGAUGACGGCUUCCAGGAAAAGCUUCUGGCAAUGCAUAUGCGGCCCGUACCAAAACCGACACAGGUGGGCAGGGAGAGAAUCCCGAGGUGAGCGAGAGAACUGUUGCCAAGGAACUCGGCAAAAUGACUCCGUAAGUUAGCGAGAAGGAGUGCUUAAGCAAUUAAGCCGCAGUGAAGAGGCCCAAGCGACUGUUUAACUAAAACACAGCUCUCUGCGAAGUCGCAAGACGAAGUAUAGGGGGUGACACCUGCCCGGUGCUGGAAGGUUAAGAGGAUCUGUUAAGAGCGAUCUGAAGCAGUGAUCCGAAGCCCCAGUGAACGGCGGCCGUAACUAUAACGGUCCUAAGGUAGCGAAAUUCCUUGUCAGGUAAGUUCUGACCCGCACGAAAGGUGUAACGAUUUGGGCGCUGUCUCGGCAGCAGACUCGGUGAAAUCUUAGUACCUGUGAAAAUGCAGGUUACCCGCAACUAGACGGAAAGACCCCAUGGAGCUUUACUGCAGCCUGAUAUUGAAUUCUGGUCAUACAUGUACAGGAUAGGUGGGAGACAAAGAGACGUGCACGCCAGUGUACGAGGAGUCGACGUUGGGAUACCACUCUUGUGUGACCGGGGUUCUAACCUGGUAUCGAGAACAGGUACGGGGAGAGUGUCAGGUGGGCAGUUUGACUGGGGCGGUCGCCUCCCAAAGAGUAACGGAGGCGCCCAAAGGUACGCUCAGAUUGGAUGGAAACCAAUCGUCGAGUGCAAUUGCAGAAGCGUGCUUGACUGUGAGACAGACAAGUCGAACAGGGACGAAAGUCGGGAAUAGUGAUCCGGCGGUGCCGAAUGGAAGGGCCGUCGCUCAACGGAUAAAAGCUACCCUGGGGAUAACAGGCU
rnacentral:rRNA from 1 species